GCCUUCCGCCCAAUGACCGCUGGGAUAGGCCCCUGAGGGAGAAGCGGCUUCGAAAAUAUAACCGUCUCGACGUUCUCAGUCCGGGAGUCCGUCUCGCCACGCAGUGACUUUAAGCUGAGCUUCAUCGAACUCUGGUGACGACGGUGAUGACGUCCUUUCUAUUAUCAUAAAUGCUUUACUUUCAACAUA